rnacentral:rRNA from 1 species
GACGAACGCUGGCGGCGUGCCUAAUACAUGCAAGUAGAACGCUGAAGGAGGAGCUUGCUCUUCUGGAUGAGUUGCGAACGGGUGAGUAACGCGUAGGUAACCUGCCUGGUAGCGGGGGAUAACUAUUGGAAACGAUAGCUAAUACCGCAUAAAAUUGAUUAUUGCAUGAUAGUCAAUUAAAAGGUGCAAUUGCAUCACUACCAGAUGGACCUGCGUUGUAUUAGCUAGUUGGUGAGGUAACGGCUCACCAAGGCAACGAUACAUAGCCGACCUGAGAGGGUGAUCGGCCACACUGGGACUGAGACACGGCCCAGACUCCUACGGGAGGCAGCAGUAGGGAAUCUUCGGCAAUGGACGGAAGUCUGACCGAGCAACGCCGCGUGAGUGAAGAAGGUUUUCGGAUCGUAAAGCUCUGUUGUAAGAGAAGAACGAGUGUGAGAGUGGAAAGUUCACACUGUGACGGUAUCUUACCAGAAAGGGACGGCUAACUACGU